rnacentral:lncRNA from 1 species
GCUCAUCUAAUUCUCACCUUGAUUAAGACUUCUUUAUCCUCAAACCAUUCCCUAGCCCUUAUUUCGUGCUCUGCCGCCCUCCUGCUUUCUCUAUCACGAGACCUUUAUCUAUCAGAUCCAAGUUUAUACGCUAUCCAUAUUCCUACCACCGCUAUCAUGAUUUUUAUCGUGGAAAAGUUAAUCAACUUUUUUAUUGACCAAUUUAUUCAUGUUCCACACUUUUCAAGAUACAUAAGUUACUUUUCAGAGAUAGCA